AGUGAACGCUGGCGGUAGGCCUAACACAUGCAAGUCGAACGGCAGCACAGUAAGAGCUUGCUCUUACGGGUGGCGAGUGGCGGACGGGUGAGGAAUACAUCGGAAUCUACUUUUUCGUGGGGGAUAACGUAGGGAAACUUACGCUAAUACCGCAUACGACCUACGGGUGAAAGCAGGGGAUCUUCGGACCUUGCGCGAUUGAAUGAGCCGAUGUCGGAUUAGCUAGUUGGCGGGGUAAAGGCCCACCAAGGCGACGAUCCGUGGCUGGUCUGAGAGGAUGAUCAGCCACACUGGAACUGAGACACGGUCCAGACUCCUACGGGAGGCAGCAGUGGGGAAUAUUGGACAAUGGGCGCAUGCCUGAUCCAGCCAUACCGCGUGGGUGAAGAAGGCCUUCGGGUUGUAAAGCCCUUUUGUUGGGAAAGAAAAGCAGCAGGUUAAUACCCCGCUGUUCUGACGGUACCCAAAGAAUAAGCACCGGCUAACUUCGUG
rnacentral:rRNA from 1 species